AUUUUCAAUUUUAAAUUACAAUAAAAACUCCAACUUCCCACACAAUAGUACCUCUAUUGAUGCACUCUUCUGUAACUCCCCACCAAAUGAUUAAUGCAUCAACCCCUCCAUCAUCUAUCUUGCUCUUCCCCAUGCCGAGAUUUUUAAUUUCUCAACCCCCUUUAUUUGAAUUUGAAUUUUUGCUUUUAAUCUACCUCCAUCUGUGCCCAAUUACCAUUGUUAAUUCCUCCACCCUUUUUCAGAUUUCAAGUUAUAAUAUACUCAAAUUUUCAAUGCAUCUCCUCACCUAAAAUUCUCUCACUCUCUCUAUCCUUUCCUGUGCAGGUCAUGCUCUCACAGUGCAUCUCCUCACCUACUCAAAAGCAAAUUCUCUCACUCUCUUUAAUGUCAUAUUUUCAAGUCUUCUUCUUCCUCAUUAUCUCUUUUUCCUUAUGCUUCACUCUCUUCACCCUCCGAGCCCCAAUCGCCCGACUUCUACUUCUCUCCCUCUUUGUCGCGCUCGCCGUCCCUCUCCCACUCUCGCUUGAGAAACCCUCUUCCUCUUCCAACGGAACCCGUCGCCGUGGAAUCCGCAUCUUGGCGAUUUCAAACGCAGCCAAGAGGAGUACUUCAGAUCUGUUGUGGCGUUAAGUUCGAAUCCAGAACCUACUGUUGAUUUCUACAUAGUGGCAAAUGUGAAGCAUCAACAUGAAGUUAAUGUUGGUUGUUGGAAACCUUUCAAUGGAGUCAUUGAAAAGAGGAAUGCUUACUCCAUAGAUCAAUGAAUGGUUUCCUAUAAAUGGAUUGGACCAUUUCUUAUAGAAAUUGAGGCGCUGAUGGCUACACUAGAUGAGGAAGAUAUGUAAAUAGUGAAGCAUGGCGAGUAAACACAGAACAAGCUAAACUCAAACUAGGCACCUCCAGGGUUUAAAGGUUCUGAAAAAUAAAAGAGAAUCUUGGACUAUUGUGGUCAAGGAUAUUCUUCGUCAAGGAGUUGUUUGUGCUCAGGAAAUAAGUACAUGGCUUCAUAUGGAUAUCAUUGAUUCUGCAUUUUUUUUUGUCCUUUUCAAGACUGUUCAGUUUUACAAUGAAUUUUGCUGCUUCCAAUUGGUGCUUCCAAAUAAAGGUGGCUCAGAGUGAGAUUAUAAGGUAGUGGUAAAAGUGAAAACAAGGUAUAAACAUUUGAGAGGCAGUGAAAGCAAGGUAUUACUUAUUAUUAUAUGUGAAAGUAAAGUUGAGAACAUGAAAUAUGGCAGAUGUAAGUUUGUUUAGGUUUGUGUUUGUGUCUUUAGGUUUUUCUCCUAUGGUGAUUUUUUGGAUUGUAUAUCUGUUUGUGAAGCCUAAUUACUUUGUAUUUUUCAGACUGCUACAUUAGCCCAUAUAACAUUGAGUUAUUCUUGAUCA